rnacentral:rRNA from 1 species
GAUGAACGCUGGCGGCGUGCCUAAUACAUGCAAGUCGAGCGAACAGACGAGGAGCUUGCUCCUCUGACGUUAGCGGCGGACGGGUGAGUAACACGUGGAUAACCUACCUAUAAGACUGGGAUAACUUCGGGAAACCGGAGCUAAUACCGGAUAAUAUAUUGAACCGCAUGGUUCAAUAGUGAAAGACGGUUUUGCUGUCACUUAUAGAUGGAUCCGCGCCGCAUUAGCUAGUUGGUAAGGUAACGGCUUACCAAGGCAACGAUGCGUAGCCGACCUGAGAGGGUGAUCGGCCACACUGGAACUGAGACACGGCCCAGACUCCUACGGGAGGCAGCAGUAGGGAAUCUUCCGCAAUGGGCGAAAGCCUGACGGAGCAAUGCCGCGUGAGUGAUGAAGGUCUUCGGAUCGUAAAACUCUGUUAUUAGGGAAGAACAAAUGUGUAAGUAACUAUGCACGUCUUGACGGUACCUAAUCAGAAAGCCACGGCUAACUACGUG